GAACAAAAUAAUUGUUGAUGAAAGUGUGGGUGAAGCACAAUUUUCAAAUUCACAAAACACAUUUCCAGAUGAGGUUCUUAGAAGUAUCAAUCUUAAUUUCAUUCAAUAAAAUUUGAGAGCUCGAGAUGAUUCAAAGAACACUGAAGCGGCUGCAGAAAUAAUUGAAAAUACAUCAAUGGCUGAUUGUGAGAAAUCAAAUUUGGAUGAACAAAUUAAUUCAGAAGUCCAUAUCCAUGAAGCAGUUUUUGAAGAAGGGAAGUUUCAACCAAAUUUACGUGAUUCCCAAGUAACAAUUCCUGAUGAGUUGCUACCCAUUCUUAACGAAUAUGUGAAUCUGAAAAGAAGCAUUAUUGUUCAUCCAUCUGCAAAUAAAGAACAAACUCUUGUGAAUGUUUCAAGAAUUAGGAGACCAUCUAAAUUCAAGGAAUCACCAUUCACUAUGAAAUUUGGUUCAGCAGAAGGAAGCACAGAAGUGCAGAAAAAAAUUCAAAUUGAAGCAUCCAUUUGUAUCUCAUCCAAUUUUUGAUAUUGAAGACACUAAGGUCACCAAUAAGUUCAUGACGUGGCUUUCAGCGGACCUUCUCAAAUAUCAUGCAAAGAAAAGCAACAAAGGAAAACAUUAUCUGAAAAACAAGUCCAAGAUAUCAGCUUCGAAUUUUGGCGUUCUAUCAGUUGAAGACAAGAAUUGGUUCUACGUUAUGGGUACUCCUGGAUAGUCAUGGUCAGAUGAGGUGAGUUACAUAUUUAUAUUAUAAUUACUUAUAGUGAUUAUCUACAAUAUGUAUUUUCUUAUAUACAUAUGCAGUAUAUCAUAUGUUCAGAUACAUAUAUACAUAAGUACACAUAUAUAGUGGCUUACACAUUGAAAAUUUAAUUUUGGGUAGUUGCUUUUACAAAUCUUCUUUUAUUUGAUGCAACAAAUUGAUAUUUUCCUGUACUAUUUGAGAAAUAAAUUCAAGUAUGAACCAAAUAGCUCAUAUAUGUGUAGCACAGUUGACUGCAAUUUCAUGAACAUUGUAAGAGCUAUGUUAGUUGUGUAUUCAAUUGAUGAUCCAAUACUUAAUGUUGGUGGAAAGGAAUACCAUUUGAAUGAGUACAUAAGUGAAUUUCGCAUGCAUGCUGCUAUUCCAUGGCGUACAGUUGAUCAUAUAUUCAUUCCUAUCAACAUAAAUUUCAAACAUCACUGGGUUUUGGUUGUACUUUCUUUCAACAGUAGAUGCAUAUACGUAUAUGAUUCACUGUCAUCUGCUGGUCAUGAUUCUGCUGUGCUUGCUGAAGUUGAGAAGUUAGCUGAGGUUAUACCUUACAGUCUUUUGUCAUGUAAA